rnacentral:guide_RNA from 1 species
UAAACACAACGAUAGAUCUAUAUUAAGUAGAAGAUAGAAAUUUAU